rnacentral:rRNA from 1 species
AUUGAACGCUGGCGGAAUGCUUUACACAUGCAAGUCGAACGGCAGCACGGGGGCAACCCUGGUUGCGAGUGGCGAACGGGUGAGUAAUACAUCGGAACGUGCCCGGUCGUGGGGGAUAACGUAGCGAAAGUUACGCUAAUACCGCAUACGAUCUGAGGAUGAAAUCGGGGGACCUUCGGGCCUCGCGCGAUCGGAGCGGCCGAUGUCAGAUUAGGUAGUUGGUGGGGUAAAGGCCUACCAAGCCGACGAUCUGUAGCUGGUCUGAGAGGACGACCAGCCACACUGGGACUGAGACAAGGCCCAGACUCCUACGGGAGGCAGCAGUGGGGAAUUUUGGACAAUGGGCGCAAGCCUGAUCCAGACAUUCCGCGUGCAGGACGAAGGCCUUCGGGUUGUAAACUGCUUUUGUAUGGAACGAAAAGGCUCUGGCUAAUACCUGGGGCUCAUGACGGUACCGUAAGAAUAAGCACCGGCUAACUACGUG